UACGUAGGGGGCAAGCGUUGUCCGGAUUUAUUGGGCGUAAAGAGCGUGUAGGCGGCUUUACAGGUCCGUUGUGAAAACUCGAGGCUCAACCUCGAGACGCCGGUGGAAACCGUAAAGCUAGAGUCCGGAAGAGGAGAGUGGAAUUCCUGGUGUAGCAGUGAAAUGCGUAGAUAUCGUGAGGAACACCAGAGGCGAAGGCGGUUACCUGGACAGUUACUGACGCUCAGGCACGAAAGCAUGGGGAGCAAAAGGG
rnacentral:rRNA from 1 species